ACUAUUUAAGUGAUUAUUGAAUGUUUGAAGGCAAACUUGAUCAGAAGAGGAAGAUGGAAGCUCUGAAUAUUCUUCUUUGUCUGCUUCUAACUGCCUUUCAGGCAAAAACCACUUGGUCAUGGUCUUGGACAACAUAUGACUGGCUGGAUUCCACGGAAGAUCCUUCAUAUGCCUAUUCAUGCAGGUAUAACUGUGGAUAUAACUUUGGCACUUGUUCAUGUAGUCACUCUUGUCAGUACUAUGGAAGCUGUUGCUAUGACUACAACAG